GACGAACGCUGGCGGCGUGCUUAACACAUGCAAGUCGAACGGUAAGGCCCUUCGGGGUACACGAGUGGCGAACGGGUGAGUAACACGUGGGUGAUCUGCCCUGCACUUCGGGAUAAGCCUGGGAAACUGGGUCUAAUACCGGAUAGGACCAUGGACUUCACGGUUUGUGGUGGAAAGCUUUUGCGGUGUGGGAUGGGCCCGCGGCCUAUCAGCUUGUUGGUGGGGUAAUGGCCUACCAAGGCGACGACGGGUAGCCGGCCUGAGAGGGUGUCCGGCCACACUGGGACUGAGAUACGGCCCAGACUCCUACGGGAGGCAGCAGUGGGAAUAUUGCACAAUGGGCGCAAGCCUGAUGCAGCGACGCCGCGUGAGGGAUGACGGCCUUC
rnacentral:rRNA from 1 species